rnacentral:rRNA from 1 species
UACGGGGGGGGCAAGCGUUGUUCGGAAUUACUGGGCGUAAAGGGCUCGUAGGCGGCCAACUAAGUCGGACGUGAAAUCCCUCGGCUUAACCGGGGAACUGCGUCCGAUACUGGAUGGCUUGAGAUUGGGAGAGGGAUGCGGAAUUCCAGGUGUAGCGGUGAAAUGCGUAGAUAUCUGGAGGAACACCGGUGGCGAAGGCGGCAUCCUGGUUGGAUACUGACGCUGAGACGCGAAAGCGUGGGGAGCAAACAGG